CAGCAGCCGCGGGAAUACGUAGGGUGCAAGCGUUAAUCGGAAUUACUGGGCGUAAAGCGUGCGCAGGCGGUUCGGAAAGAAAGGUGUGAAAUCCCAGGGCUUAACCUUGGAACUGCACUUUUAACUACCGGGCUAGAGUGUGUCAGAGGGGGGUGGAAUUCCGCGUGUAGCAGUGAAAUGCGUAGAGAUGCGGAGGAACACCGAUGGCGAAGGCAGCCCCCUGGGAUAACACUGACGCUCAUGCACGAAAGCGUGGGGAGCAAACAGGAUUAGAUACCCCAGUAGUCCCUGUCUCUUAUAC
rnacentral:rRNA from 1 species